UAUAGUCUGUAGACGCGUCAGGGUAAUGAGACACACCCCCUGUCCCUCUAUAGUCUGUAGA
ensembl:miRNA gmo-mir-11223 gmo-mir-11223